GUUUUGGUCGUCAGACUGACUUGUAUGAUCGCAUUGAUCAAGCAUCUCUCCUCCGAGGAGAACAAUUAUUAAAAAUUCAGUCGCUCCAUACCUCUUCUGUUGAUGGAGGUGUCAGGUAUUUUUCAAUGAUUAGCGGUAACCUGAUUUCUUUCUAGCAUAUGUUUUUUUGUUCAAAUUGUUGCAUUUUUGGUUACGUCUGUUAUUUGUUCUCUCAAGACCUUUGUUAUUGUAAAACAACUGUACUUUGUCAAAACUUGCAAUAACGUUUGAAGGAAAGUUAUAUCUUACUGCA